rnacentral:rRNA from 1 species
UGGGGAAUAUUGCACAAUGGGCGCAAGCCUGAUGCAGCAACGCCGCGUGAGGGAUGACGGCCUUCGGGUUGUAAACCUCUUUUAGCAGGGAAGAAGCGAAAGUGACGGUACCUGCAGAAAAAGCACCGGCUAACUACGUGCCAGCAGCCGCGGUAAUACGUAGGGUGCAAGCGUUGUCCGGAAUUAUUGGGCGUAAAGAGCUCGUAGGCGGUCUGNUCGCGUCUGCUGUGAAACUCCCGAGGCUCAACCUCGGGCCUGCAGUGGGUACGGGCAGACUAGAGUGCGGUAGGGGAGAAUGGAACUCCUGGUGUAGCGGUGGAAUGCGCAGAUAUCAGGAAGAACACCGAUGGCGAAGGCAGUUCUCUGGGCCGUAACUGACGCUGAGGAGCGAAAGCGUGGGGAGCGAACAGGAUUAGAUACCCUGGUAGUCCACGCCGUAAAACGUUGGGCGCUAGAUGUGGGGACCAUUCCACGGUUUCCCGUGUCGCAGCUAACGCAUUAAGCGCCCCGCCUGGGGAGUACGGCCGCAAGGCUAAAACUCAAAUGAAUUGAC